AAGUCGUAACAAGGUUUCCGUAGGUGAACCUGCGGAAGGAUCAUUAAAGUGUUUCGGAGCCUGGCUCGGGCACCUCAACUCGAGGUGUCGGUGCCAGCGCCCCCACACGUGUUUACUCAACUUGGUUGCCUUGGUGAGCCUGCCCUUGUGGCUGCCGGGGAUGCCUCACGGCGUCCUGGGCUCGUGCUCACCAAUGGAACAUUUGAACUCUUAUGUGAAAAUAGUCAGUCUGAGCAUUAUGCAAAUUAAAUAAAACUUUCAACAACGGAUCUCUUGGUUCCG
rnacentral:misc_RNA from 1 species